rnacentral:rRNA from 1 species
AGUGAACGCUGGCGGCAGGCCUAACACAUGCAAGUCGAACGGCAGCACAGUGGAGCUUGCUCCAUGGGUGGCGAGUGGCGGACGGGUGAGGAAUACAUCGGAAUCUGCCCAGUCGUGGGGGAUAACAUAGGGAAACUUAUGCUAAUACCGCAUACGACCUACGGGUGAAAGCGGGGGAUCGCAAGACCUCGCGCGAUUGGAUGAGCCGAUGUCCGAUUAGCUAGUUGGCGGGGUAAUGGCCCAACAAGGCGACGAUCGGUAGCUGGUCUGAGAGGAUGAUCAGCCACACGGGAACUGGGACACGGUCCAGACUCCUACGGGAGGCAGCAGUGGGGAAUAUUGGACAAUGGGCGCAAGCCUGAUCCAGCCAUGCCGCGUGGGUGAAGAAGGCCUUCGGGUUGUAAAGCCCUUUUGUCCGGAAAGAAACGCCUCGGAUUAAUACUCUGGGGUAAUGACGGUACCGGAAGAAUAAGCACCGGCUAACUUCGUGCCAGCCGCCGCGGUAAGAC